rnacentral:rRNA from 1 species
UGCCACAGGCAUGUCACCCUGCAGCCCAACUCACUUUAGCUAAGCAGGGCUGAGUCAGGUCAGUACCUGGAUGGGAGACCUCAUGGGAAAACUUGGUUGCUGUUGCAA